rnacentral:rRNA from 1 species
AGCGAACGUUAGCGGCGGGCCUAACACAUGCAAGUCGAACGAGAAAGCCACUUCGGUGGUGAGUAGAGUGGCGCACGGGUGAGUAACACGUAGGUAAUCUACCCUCGGGCGGGGGACAACAUCUCGAAAGGGAUGCUAAUACCGCAUAAGACCACGACCUCUGCGGAGGAAGUGGGAAAAGGAGGCCUCUUCUUGAAAGCUUCCACCUGAGGAUGAGCCUGCGUCCCAUCAGCUAGUUGGUAAGGUAACGGCUUACCAAGGCUAAGACGGGUAGCUGGUCUGAGAGGAUGAUCAGCCACACUGGCACUGGAACACGGGCCAG